AAUACAACUUGCCUUUAGUACUGCCAAAUAACUUUUCUGACUAAACAGAACUCAAAUAAUCAAAUAGUGUAGUAAAACUCAUUAUAACAAGUUUUUACAACUAAUUUGGGAAUUUCACCUAACAAACUUAAGAAACUGAGUUGACUCAACUUGCAUAAUUAAGUAUCUAUAAGAGAGAAGUUUCCCAAAGUUCACUGAACUUCUUAGUCAAGUUGGAGCAAGCGCAUUGUUUCCUAACGUAUCAAGGCGACCUGUGGGCUGCAGCUUGAAUUUGUCAGGAGGACAGAAGCCAGUCACCUUCCCUACCUGUAUGCAGCGUGGAGCAAAUGACAACAGCAUUGUCAAAGACUCUUCUGUUGCAAUGCAAUGUAAGGAGUGUCCAUUUUCUCACCGGGAUGUAGAGACCCUCCUGACCUAUUGCAGGCUUCAUAAUGGUCACCAGGGGAAAAGCUGGCUCUGCCUCCACCCCAAGUGCAUGUGCAUCUUUAAGACUUCAGGUGAUGGGCUUCUCCUCACCUCUGCUGGAGAGGGUACAUUCAAGCCCCCUCUCUGGUGCAGCCCUGUUUUGUCGUUACCGACACCAGCAAGACCUAUGCCAGCCUUAAGACCAGGAUGAGCUGAUGCUGCCUCCCCUGGCCGAGCCUCCUCUCUCACCUUUUCCUCUGCUUUCCUGAUAUCAGCCAUCACUAAAGCCAUGGGGGUUCUGUAGCCAGGUGAAUGUAAACGAAGGAAAGCCCGGACAAGCAAGACUGACAAGUAGGUGGGCCUAGGCCUGUCCUGGCCCGUCUGUGGCUACGCCUAUGUCACCAGGGGCCUCAUGUAUAAAGACUUGCGUGGAAUUCCUACCAAAAACACAGCGUAGCCUACGCGAAAACCUGGUUUUAGAUUGGAAAGUUGUGUUUUAUUUUUAUAAUCUUUGUUCAGUGAACACAUACAACCGUCAGUUUGUUAGUUAACAGACAUUUUGUGAAUAUGACGCUCAGGCCUAUAAACUAUAAGUUUACCUGCAAACACCCUUCUAGUUGUGGAAGUAGAUAGUGCAGUGGUCACAGACAUGGUUUAGUAUGUGGGAGACCGAGGUUUGAUUCCCGUAUGAUGCAUUUUGGCAGAGUGAGU